rnacentral:other from 1 species
GUGGGGCGUGGGAAUUCGUUAGUGAGUUAUACCCGGUGGCCUAAUUGUAGAAAGGGAGCCGUCCCUGCGUCGGCCGUGGUCGAUGCAUAUGGCGCCCACCUGGGAGCCGGCCACACGCGGAUCCUGGACGACGGUUUCCAGGCUUCACA